AGUGAACGCUGGCGGCAUGCCUAACACAUGCCAGUCGAACGGUAGCACAGUAAGAGCUUGCUCUUACUGGUGGCGAGUGGCGGACGGGAGAGGAAUACAUCGGAAUCUACUUUUUCGUGGGGGAUAAGGUAGGGAAACUUACGCUAAUACCUCAUACGACCUACGGGUGAAAGCAGGGGAUCUUCGGACCUUGCGCGAUUGAAUGAGCCGAUGUCGGAUUAGCUAGUUGGCGGGGUAAAGGCCCACCAAGGCGACGAUCCGUAGCUGGUCUGAGAGGAUGAUCAGCCACACUGGAACUGAGACACGGUCCAGACUCCUACGGGAGGCAGCAGUGGGGAAUAUUGGACAAUGGGCGCAAGCCUGAUCCAGCAAUACCGCGUGGGUGAAGAAGGCCUUCGGGUUGUAAAGCCCUUUUGUUGGGAAAGAAAAGCAGCAGGUUAAUACCUCGCUGUUAUGACGGUACCCAAAGAAUAAGCACCGGCUAACUUCGUG
rnacentral:rRNA from 1 species